ACCAAGGUCUACGCUUGAGGUGCCUCGCCGGCUGCCGGUCGAGGUUAAGAGGGAAUACCGGAAGGUCCCGCGCAAGACGGGUCCGAGCCGGAGCUGCCCCCGCAACUGUGAGCGCCGAGAAAUGUCCGAAUGCCACUGGAGCAAUUCCGGGAAGGCGGGCAUUUCGCCGAAGCGCGAGCCAGGAAACCUGCCUCAGGUCGUCACCCACC
rnacentral:ncRNA from 2 species